rnacentral:tRNA from 1 species
GCAAGAGUGGGGCGAGGAGCGGUCCUGCCGCAGGCCUCGCAAGCCUGUGAUCGCAGGUGGCCGAUCCUGGCUUUGCUCCA